UACAGAGGUCUCAAGCGUUGUUCGGAUUCAUUGGGCGUAAAGGGUGUGUAGGUGGCGCCGUAAGUCGGGUGUGAAAUUUCGGAGCUUAACUCCGAAACUGCAUUUGAUACUGUGGUGCUUGAGGACUGGAGAGGAGACUGGAAUUCACGGUGUAGCAGUGAAAUGCGUAGAGAUCGUGAGGAAGACCAGUGGCGAAGGCGGGUCUCUGGGCCGAUACUGACGCUGAGGAGCGAAAGCGUGGGGAGCGAACAGG
rnacentral:rRNA from 1 species